UACUUUAGCUCAUCGAUACACCAACAUAUGAAGAGUACAUUUAAUAUUUGUAAAGAUAGAUUGUAACAACAUUUAAGCCGUUAAUGUAUGUUUUUUCGCCUUUUUUCCCCGAAAACAUUUAUAGCUAAAUAACAUAGCUAGCUAACGUUAGCUUUUAACCUUGGACUUUUUGUAGACAAGCCAUUGUAAAAAUUUGAUUAAAAUUUGUUUACAUUAAAGUAGACCAAUUAAAUACAUUAAGGGGCGGUUUCCAGGACUAGAAUUAGACUAGUCCUAGACUAAAAUAAAUAUAAGAGCUGCCCAAUCUGAAAACAACUUACUGACAUGUCUUAAAAUACAUCAGUGGCCUUUGCUUGGCCUCAAAAUGUACACAAGUAAUGUUUUUAAUAAGGCAUGUUUGAUCAAACUAGUUGUUUUUACUAAGGCCUAGUCCUGGUUUAAACUAAUCCCUGUUCAGGAAACCACCCCAAAGUGUGUUUAUAUCAAAUAAUGUCAUCAUUAAUUAUUUAAUCACAUUUACCAUUUGACCUGUUUUUAAUUACCGGACCUUUUCUCCUAAAACUAUAAUUUGAAUUAAUUAAUGCAGGAAAAAUUAUUUUACUUUAUAUAAUUUAUGUAUACUAGGCCUACUUAAAUGAGUUCUUAAAAAAGUAAGUAUUAAAAUGAAUUAAUAUCAGUUUAACUGUGAUAUGAAGUUGUUGCCAGCCAUUUACGACACAUACAAUUGACUAAUAAUCAAAUGUACUAUGCCUUCACUAUUUAUUAACCAGCCUGGUAUUAACAUGUCAGCUAGAAUGUGUCAUUUUGGCCUUUUGUUUGGGUUUCUUGUAUGGACUAUGUGGAGUGGUCUUAAAAUUUGAAUUUGACUCUCUGUCUCUUUUUUAAAGAUGGAUAUAACAAUUAAAACGGAGAAUUCACUUCCAGAAAUUCCAAAAUGUCACAAAUGCUGCAGUGAUUUUCACUACCAUCAAAGUGGUUCCCCCUAAAGCGACGUGUGCCUGUCUACAUGGACAACAGGCCAUCAUUCAUGGCCUAUGUGAAAUGCAGGCAUUAUCCUGGCAGGAAGCUGAGCAGGUGUUCCUCCGUGGCCCUUCUUAUCACUCUAGUGAAGUCGAGGAAUUUGACAGCAGUUUCCAAAAGACAGAAAAAGAAGGAAAAAAAUCACCUACCAGAAACUUAUUAUUUUACCUCAUGCAUUUACAUUAUUUUACAUUUAUUCAUUUAGCAGACGCUUUUAUCCAAAGUGACUUAUAAAUGAGGAGUUCUUUUUAAUACAAUUGAAGAUGGAAAGUAAAGUCACUAACACAAUUCUUUCUUCCUUUUUUCUUUGCUUUCUCCUGUUUACAGCAAGAUGGUGUUUAGGUGUUUGUUCAAUAAAGUACAGAAUUGUUUAUUAUUGGUGUUUUGUCUAUUCUUAUUAAAGUUUUGCUUCGCAUUCAAAAUAUAAAAAAAAACAGGUUUUGUAAUGUUAGCAUGAUGUUAAUAAGACCAUUACGGGUUGAACUGAAAGAAAAAAUGGAAUUUUAAUAUAAAAUAUAAAAAACAUUGUAGCAAUAUAAUAUCACAUAAUAUUUUUCUGAAGAUAGUUCAAUCUGUAAUUGUAUCCCUUCCAUCAGUAAUUUUCUUUUAAUUACACCCACGCUCAAAAAAAUAACUACUGGGUAAUUUGUUAGUCAGAGAAAACAAUUAGUUUUUUGGCACAUGCAUUAAGCCGGGAACGCAAAUAUUUAUUUGGAAUACUAAAACGAGACCGUAAUAUUGCAUCCUAUUGUUUUCAAUGGCAUUCGGAUAAGGGUGUUAUACGAUCUUCCAAACAGCAGGGGCGCUGUCUCGAAAAAAGGGGGGUCUGAGGA